rnacentral:rRNA from 1 species
AUUGAACGCUGGCGGCAGGCCUAACACAUGCAAGUCGAACGAGUGGCGGACGGGUGAGUAAUGUCUGGGAAACUGCCUGAUGGAGGGGGAUAACUACUGGAAACGGUAGCUAAUACCGCAUACCAUCAGAUGUGCCCAGAUGGGAUGAGCUAGUUGGGGGGGUAACGGCUCACCAAGGCGACGAACCCUAGCUGGUCUGAGAGGAUGACCAGCCACACUGGAACGUAGCCACGUUCCAGACGCCUACGGUAGGCAGCGGUGGGGAAUAUUGCACAAUGGUCGCAAGCCUGAUGCAGACAUGCCGCGGGUAUGAAGAAGGCCUUCGGGUUGUAAAGUACUUUCAGCGGGGAGGCGUUACCCGCAGAAGAAGCACCGGCUAACUCCGUGCCAGCAGCCGCGGUAAUUC